GCUCCGCAGAGGAGACACUGACCUGCCGGCAGCUGGCCGCCAUGGCACCAGGAGUUCCGCGGGCACCGAGAACGAGUCCGCCGGGUUUCUUCCGGCCUCCCGCACCCCGACCUGAAAAGGAGCAAACCAGUGACCCACACGGGGCCGAGCUUGGGGAGAGAAGGUUCGAGUCUUGGUUCUGGAGACUCCCCCCUCCCGGGGGGAGGAGCUCCCCCUCCACAACGGCCAGGCCUUAGCCAGGCCUUCUCUGGCCUCCGCGAUAUAGGGGUUUCAGACUUAAUAGAUGCAGGGGAAAUAAAUGCGAGCCUGGGGGUCUUGAUGCGGGUGUGGUCCCUUUAAGAUUCCUUUCUUUCUGAUUCCCAACCUCCCCCACCCACCCCCAGUUAACGUAAUUACCUUUUGAUUCACAAAUCCUGGCCCCUUUGAAGUCCAAUAGAAGAUCCGGGCCUGUCCCAGCCCCACCCGGAUCUGAGCCAACUUUGGAGCUACACCCACAGGCCCCUCCAGCUAAAUCUCCCCUUAUAAAAGGGGCCCAGUGGGGCCCCCUCUGCAGAGGUCCCAACAUGCCAACCUUCCGCCCAUGUCAGGACUUUGUGUCCACUGGACCUUCUGUCCCGUGCCCUCCUUAUCUCUACCUUCGCCUAUACUUUAACCUUACUUCCAAACCCCUUUUUAUCAAUCUAGCUUUUCGGGCCAAUAAAUGCUUUUAUUGAGGACUCGCAACACCACUGGACUUCAUUUAACUCCAUAUCCUUGCGCCGAACCCAAGGGGGUUGCAGGGGAGCUCGGUUUGACUCGCUGUACCCUGAACCUGCCACCUAAUUUCACUUAAGUACCCCAGAUCUAUCCCUCAUCAUUCUCACCCACUGCGCCCGACGCCCAAGCCUUGCUCGUGCCCCCUGCCCCCGUCUUCUCCCACUGGCAGUGCCUGCCCCAGCUGGUUCCUCUCCCCAAAUCCCCACACUACUUUCGUUCACUUUUUAUUUCCGGUUAUACAUGUAUAUGAGUUUUUGUAAUACACAUUUAUGAAUCAUGUUGGGCGACAAAAAUCAAAACAAAAGGGAAAAAUCUGGAAAUAAGUGACCUAUACCCUCACCUAUGACCUAUGCUCCCUUCUAGCCUAGCUAGGUUAGACAUCCCCCAACCCUGCAGUUACUUCCUCCCCAGGUCCUCAAGAAGAAGGGGUGUCUUCCCCUCUGGGCACCCCUCACCUGCCUUGACCCCAACCGGACACAUCCUCAUCUGUACAAUUCUAGGCUGGGAGGCCAAGCGUGUGACAACGCCUCCUAAAUCAUGUCCCCCAGGGAGCAAGCGGCUCACUCAGGGCUUCCUCCACUGCUUGAGGGGCAGGUCUCUCAGAGAGGUACAGCAGCUACUCUGGAUUUGGCAGAGAGAGCCUGUUUCCCACUGUUCCAAAUCACGAUCUCAAGCUGAGCUUGGGACGUGUCUCACCCCCUGGCGCAGGGAAGAAGUGAUGGUGGUGUAACUAUUGGUGAGCGACAAAACUCAAGCCAAGCCGGCCAAACUCCGAAACUCAGGAAAUCUGAGAUGGUUUGGCAAGUCUCCUAAGCCCAAAAUCAGAGGCUUAACUCCAGUGAGAAAAGCUGAAUGGAUGAAGAAGGCCCGUUAUCCCGCUGGAGCUGCCCCACCAUUUCCCAGCCAGUACCGAUCACGAGCUUGGGCUGCCUUCCAGGCCACGACUCCUCCCCCGGGACCACACGGCGCAGCUCUACCACCGACUCCUCUCCAGCUAAAUCACACAAC